GAUGAACGCGGGCGGCGUGCCUAAUACAUGCAAGUCGAGCGAACGGACGAGAAGCUUGCUGCUCUGAUGUUAGCGGCGGACGGGUGAGUAACACGUGUAUAACCUACCUAUAAGACUGGGAUAACUUCUGGAAACCGGAGCUAAUACCGGAUGAUAUUUUGAACCGCAUGGUUCAAAAGUGAAAGACGGUCUUGCUGUCACUUAUAGAUGGAUCCGCGCUGCAUUAGCUAGUUGGUAAGGUAACGGCUUACCAAGGCAACGAUGCAUAGCCGACCUGAGAGGGUGAUCGGACACACUGGAACUGAGACACGGUCCAGACUCCUACGGGAGGCAGCAGUAGGGAAUCUUCCGCAAUGGGCGAAGGCCUGACGGAGCAACGCCGCGUGAGUGAUGAAGGUCUUCGGAUCGUAAAACUCUGUUAUUAGGGAAGAACAUAUGUGUAAGUAACUGUGCACAUCUUGACGGUACCUAAUCAGAAAGCCACGGCUAACUACGUG
rnacentral:rRNA from 1 species